AUGAAGAUCAGGAAGGACUCGGGAUUGAGGAUAUGGAGAGAGUCAGAUCCAUAUGCCACCAGAAGGAGAACUGCUGUGGACUACAGGUUCCAUACCAAAGAACAACAGGAUUUUUAUGAGACAGUGUUGCUUGACAAGAAACCAAUAGUAUGUGACAUGAGAUGGGUCAACUGGGAGUAUAUCAAGGAGAAUGAAGAACAUUAUCCAGGAGUAUAUGACAGUUUCAAGGCUUGUGGAGUUGAUGAGUUUGUGGCUCAGAAGCUCACAAAGUGGAAUGAUGAGCUUAUCAUGCAGUUCUACUCCACAACUCAUUUCUACCCAGAUGGCAAGAUAGUCUGGAUGUCUGAAGGCACUAGAUACCAGUGCACAGUUGCAGAAUGGGCUAAGUUGAUCAAUGCCCCAGAAGAGAGUGAAGAUGACUUGGAUGUCUAUGCUAACAAGAAGGAUCACAACUGUAACACCCUCGAUGCGGCUAUAUCUCCUACGUGUCGAAGCACAACGUAG
rnacentral:rRNA from 1 species